UACGUAGGGGGCAAGCGUUGUCCGGAUUUAUUGGGCGUAAAGAGCGUGUAGGCGGUUCGGUAGGUCCGUUGUGAAAACUCGAGGCUCAACCUCGAGACGCCGAUGGAAACCAUCGAACUAGAGUCCGGAAGAGGAGAGUGGAAUUCCUGGUGUAGCGGUGAAAUGCGCAGAUAUCAGGAAGAACACCGGUGGCGAAGGCGGGUCUCUGGGCAGUAACUGACGCUGAGGAGCGAAAGCGUGGGGAGCGAACAGG
rnacentral:rRNA from 1 species